rnacentral:tRNA from 2 species
GUCCCCGUAGCUCAGUGGACCAGAGCAACCGCCUUCUAAGCGGAAGGUCGCAGGUUCGAAUCCUGCCGGGGACGCCA